CAACAGAGACAUGAAAGUCCUCUUGAUGAUCGUCAUAAAGUUGCUGUGGCUUCAUCUAAUGACACCAAAUCUCUUUUAUCUGCUGGAGGGCAAUCUUCGAUUGCUCCUUUAGGCGAUAAUUCGAGUAUUCAGAAGAGUGUGGCCAGUACUCCAGCUAUGCUGUCUUCUUCUCAUGGUUUCAUUCGACGAAGCCACAGAGACUUUAUGACGGUCAUCAAGAGGACUUUCAUGUCUCUGUUG
rnacentral:misc_RNA from 1 species